AUUUUAUUUAGUGACAUGCAUAAAUUUUGUUGCUGAUUUUAUUGAAUGGCAUAGAUUCUCCUCCUUAUUUAGCUUUGGAAAUGUUGAAGAAAAAAGGGUUAAAAGUUGAAAUGCAAGGACAUCUGUUUGUGCUCGAUAAUAUUCAAUAUAACUAUCUUCCGUUUGUGAUGUAGAACAAUAAAGAAGAAUAAAGAACUUGGAGAAAUCAAGGGCCAAUCCUUGAAGAGAGA
rnacentral:misc_RNA from 1 species